rnacentral:rRNA from 1 species
UUCCGGUUGAUCCCGCCGGACCUGACUGCUAUCGGAUUGAUACUAAGCCAUGCGAGUCAUUGUAGCAAUACAAGGCAUACGGCUCAGCAACGCGUAGUCAACCUAACCUAUGGACGGGAAUAACCUCGGGAAACUGAGAAUAAUGCCCGAUAGAACACUAUACCUGGAAUGGUUUGUGUUCCAAAUGAUUUAUCGCCGUAGGAUGGGACUGCGGCCUAUCAGUUUGUUGGUGAGGUAAUGGCCCACCAAGACUAUUACAGGUACGGGCUCUGAGAGGAGUAGCCCGGAGAUGGGUACUGGGACACGGACCCAGGCCCUAUGGGGCGCAGCAGGCGAGAAAACUUUGCAAUGUGCGAAAGCACGACAAGGUUAAUCCGAGUGAUUUGUGCUAAACGAAUCUUUUGUUAGUCCUAGAACCACUAACGAAUAAGGGGUGGGCAAGUUCUGGUGUCAGCCGCCGCGGUAAAACCAGCACCUCAAGUGGUCAGGAUGAUUAUUGGGCCUAAAGCAUCCGUAGCCGGCUCUGUAAGUUUUCGGUUAAAUCUGUACGCUUAACGUACAGGCUGCCGGGAAUACUGCAGAGCUAGGGAGUGGGAGAGGUAGACGGUACUCGGUAGGAAGGGGUAAAAUCCUUUGAUCUAUUGAUGACCACCUGUGGCGAAGGCGGUCUACCAGAACACGUCCGACGGUGAGGGAUGAAAGCUGGGGGAGCAAACCGGAUUAGAUACCCGGGUAGUCCCAGCUGUGAACUAUGCAAACUCAGUGAUGCAUUGACUUGUGGUCAAUGCAGUGCUGCAGGGAAGCCGUUAAGUUUGCCGCCUGGGAAGUACGUACGCAAGUAUGGAACUUAAAGGAAUUGGCGGGGGAGCACCACAAGGGGUGAAGCCUGCGGUUCAAUUGGAUUCAACGCCGGA